AGUGAGAAAUAGCUUAAUCCUAUCAGGAUAGGAACGGAGGAACCGACUUUUUUGGGGUGAAUCCUGUGAGUUUUGCAGGUAGGGUUUAUACCUUUCGACCCGAACCCGUCAGCUAACUUCGUAGGCGAAUAGGAAAGGGAGG
rnacentral:sRNA from 2 species